AGUGAACGCUGGCGGUAGGCCUAACACAUGCAAGUCGAACGGCAGCACAGUAAGAGCUUGCUCUUACGGGUGGCGAGUGGCGGACGGGUGAGGAAUACAUCGGAAUCUACUUUUUCGUGGGGGAUAACGUAGGGAAACUUACGCUAAUACCGCAUACGACCUACGGGUGAAAGCAGGGGAUCUUCGGACCUUGCGCGAUUGAAUGAGCCGAUGUCGGAUUAGCUAGUUGGCGGGGUAAAGGCCCACCAAGGCGACGAUCCGUAGCUGGUCUGAGAGGAUGAUCAGCCACACUGGAACUGAGACACGGUCCAGACUCCUACGGGAGGCAGCAGUGGGGAAUAUUGGACAAUGGGCGCAAGCCUGAUCCAUCCAUACCGCGUGGGUGAAGAAGGCCUUCGGGUUGUAAAGCCCUUUUGUUGGGAAUGAAAAGCAGCAGGUUAAUACCCCGCUGUUCUGACGGUACCCAAAGAAUAAGCACCGGCUAACUUCGUG
rnacentral:rRNA from 1 species